ensembl:lncRNA
CUUCAACACAAGCUCCCAUAGCAAUACAAUUUUGUUUCCCCUUUGUUGUUUCUCCAACCUUUUAAAUUAUUCCCAUAAUGUUUUUCUUUUAGUAUAUUCUGUUCUCUCCAUUAUUCCUAUUUUCUCUUGUAUUCAACCUCUGUCCUCUAUAGUCUAUCCCUUUCCUUCAUUCUUAUUUAUGCCCAUCUUCUCUUGUCUUUUUUCCACUUCACAGGUGCAAAAUUUAUAAACUGAUUCUGACAACCUACAGGCUUCUCCAAUCACAAAGUACACUUUCCUCCUGCUAUAUCUCCUUUUUACCAGAAGAAAUAUCUUCUUCAAACUCACAAAACUAACACUUUCAUCCAAAUAAAAGACUUCCAACAGAACUUUAACCCAUAUUAAUUCAUCAGUUACAUUCCCCCAUCUACUCCCCAUACUACAGACUUACACUUCUCUUUCAGCCAUAUUUCAAUCUCUCUCCUCUACUUUUUUUUCCACAUCACACAAUAACUGCUAACAACAACUUAAUAUAGGCUGCAAAGAGUACUGAUAAGGUACUGUAAAUGCAAAGUCUAUCACAUAUAAGCAAUGCAUAAUCAGAUAUGUUGAUGCUGUUGUAACAGAAGUAAUUCUUUCCUCAAACAGGGAUAGAGUGCAAACCACAUAAAUUAAAUGGGUGAAAGGGUAAAUAUUACCUGGACAAUUUACGUUGAAAACACAUCAUGUGAAUUCUUUAUCUUUUUUUUUUUUUUUUCAGUACCAGGGAUUGAACUCAGGACCUUCAACUUGCAAGAGUCCCCUCUCAUGGGUGGUAUGGUCUGCAGUGAUGUGAUGAGCAGGCAGGACAGAGGUCACACGGUAUCGUCCUGGGUGCUUCCUUUGAGCCAGCAGAUGCUCAGGUUGCCUCCAGGAUGGUGUGUCAUGGUCUCCAAAGGGAAAGGCUUGCUGUCACCUUCUUGUGGGUGCUGCAGAGGACAUGGUGGCCUUUUAUCCAGGCAGCUUUGUUCCUUGUGGUGGGCUCUCACAGAAGCCUUCAGGAUAAGGUGCCUGAGCUGCAGCCACUCCCCAUUGCCUGUAUCUACUGGGAAAGGUCCUCUCCUUCCAAAUAUUUCUCUCCUCCAAGUAACAUCAGGCUGGGUUCUAGAGAGAGCAGCCCAUGGGACUGAUAGUGGUGUCAGCCUACACUUUUCCCUUCCCCUCCUCAUGGGCCAGGGAAAAAGACAUGAAGACUUGGUUGGAUGUGUUUAUUUAGUAGGAAAGGCAGCUCCAUUGGGAAAGGGCUGGAACUGGUGGCUGUGGGUGUACAGCAGUGUUAUGGUUUGGGUUGAGAUGCCCCCUAAAGCCCCAUGUGGUCAUAGGGUUGGUCUAGAGUGUUUGAAGCUGGAAUUGAUUCAUGAUACAAUGCUAGGCUCAAGGGGGCUAGGAUUAAGAGUGUGAGUGCUACCCGCCCUACGUAGUAUGAAUAAGAUAAAAGGGGCACAAAGAUCCUGUUAAACUCUCUCUUGUUACCUUUGUUGCCUUGUGUAUGGCAUGUUGUUUGUCCUGAAACCUCUACAAACUGUAAGCCAAAUAAAACCAUUCCCCUCCAACUUUGGGUGUCUAGUAUUUUGUCUCAGCAGUGAGAGAAAAGUAACUAACAGAAGCAGUGCACUAUAAGAAGGGACUUCCAGCUCUCUCACUGUCAUUGUGGAAGCUGGAGCAGACAGUUGGCACCUUGGGCAGAGGUGACAGGAAGAACAGGG